GUUCCCUGUGAUGUAAUUCAGGCAUGGUGACAUGCUUAUUAAGACAUUUGUACAACUAGACUGUGCCAUAGCUCCUGCCCAUAGCACGCUCACUAGGAUCAAAGCCAAACUCGUUGCCAUUUGUGUGUGUGCCAUUGGGUCUCUGGAAAUGCCUGUAGAAUGUGAAUAUAUCCUGCAACUACUUAAGUUUGAUGGAAUUGGGAGAAAGAAGUCUGGCUUUUAUAGGAAUUUGAGGCCAGAGCUGACAAAUGAGAAUUGGAUUAUGUGGGUGACCAACUAUUCCUGACCUCCUAACCGGGUUCUUUGGUAAAAAGCUGAAGGUGUUCAAGCCUGGACCCUUGGAUACUUGCUAUGCCUAUACGUGGCUUACCUGGGAAGGCCUUGGAGUUUGGUUGUGUAGGUGACCGACUUGUGCUGCUUGAAGUCUUAGAUACAGAGUAAUAAUAAGGGAUUCAAACAUGGAG
rnacentral:misc_RNA from 1 species